GGAAGGGGUGUAUUUAUUAGAUAAAAAACCAACGCCCUUCGGGGCUCCUUGGUGAAUCAUAAUAACUUAACGAAUCGCAUGGCCUUGCGCCGGCGAUGGUUCAUUCAAAUUUCUGCCCUAUCAACUUUCGAUGGUAGGAUAGUGGCCUACCAUGGUGGCAACGGGUAACGGGGAAUUAGGGUUCGAUUCCGGAGAGGGAGCCUGAGAAACGGCUACCACAUCCAAGGAAGGCAGCAGGCGCGCAAAUUACCCAAUCCCGAUACGGGGAGGUAGUGACAAUAAAUACUGAUACGGGGCUCUUUUGGGUCUCGUAAUUGGAAUGAGAACAAUUUAAAUCCCUUAACGAGGAACAAUUGGAGGGCAAGUCUGGUGCCAGCAGCCGCGGUAAUUCCAGCUCCAAUAGCGUAUAUUAAAGUUGUUGCAGUUAAAAAGCUCGUAGUUGAAUUUUGGGCCCGACUGGGCGGUCUUGCCCCGUUGUAAGCACUGCUCGCCUCACGGUUCAGGUUGGGCCUUUCCUUCUGGCUAGCCAGCUGCCUUUCACUGGGUGGGCUGGGGAACCAGGACUUUUAC
rnacentral:rRNA from 1 species